rnacentral:misc_RNA from 1 species
AUGGGUUGAUUUGUCUAUGGACUUUAUUUUGAGGUUACCUAGGUCUAGGAAAGGUAAAGAUUCUAUAUUUUCGGUAGUGGACAGAUUUUCCAAGAUGGCACAUUUUAUUCCUUGCCAUAAAACUGAUGAUGUUUCUCUUAUUGCUAACCUUUUCUUUAAGGAAAUUGUUAGGUUGCAUGGCAUUCCAAGAAGUAUUGUUUCAGAUCGUGAUGCCAAUUUCCUAAUAUAUUUUUGAAAGACUUUGUGGAAAAAGCUUGGAACUCGCCUCCUCUUUAGCACAGCCUGUCAUCCUCAAACAGAUGGGCAAACGGAGGUGGUGAAUAGAACUCUCUCUACCUUGCUAAGAACUCUCAUCAAGAAGAAUUUGAAGAGUUGGGAUGAAUGCUUGACCUAUGUUGAAUUUGCCUACAAUUGAAGUGUGCACAGCUCAACUAAGCACUCUCCUUUUGAAGUAGCCUAUGGCUUCAAUCCAAUCACACCAAUGGAUUUGAUGCCAAUUCCUGUUCAAGAAAGAGCCAAUGUUGAUGGAGAAAAGAAGGCAAAGAUGGUGAAGUCUAUGCAUGAGCAAGUUAGAAAGCUUGUUGAGGCAAAAAAUGAACAAUACAGCAAAAACGUUAAAAUGAAAAGGAAGCAAGUGCGGUUUGAACCAGGUGAUCUAGUGUGGUUUCACUUGAGGAAAGAGAGAUUUCCAAAUCAGAGGAAGUCCAAGCUAUUGCCAAGAGCUGAUGGUCCAUUCCGUGUGGUAGCAAGGAUCAAUGACAAUGCCUAUAAGGUGGAUUUGCCUGGUGAGUACAAUGUUUCUUCUACUUUCAAUGUGAGGGAUCUUUCUCCUUACUUGGAAGAUGAUUUUGAGGAUGAGGAAGAAUUGGAUUUGAGGGCAAAUCCUAAUCAACAAGGGGGAGAUGAUGUGCCACAUGAUGACAUGACAUACGAGGGCCCAUUGACUAGGUCCAAAAGCAAGCUCAUUACUUUGCAUGCUUGUAUUUAGAAUUAAAGAAGUUGGGCUGGACUUGACAAGUCCAUGGGGCAUGUGAGAUGGGUAUAAACUAAAAUGUUUGGGCUUAAGUCAAAAUAAAGAUAAUGGACUGAUUAUGAAGAAAACAAGCCUAUAUGUGUGAAAGGCUCCUAUUUGCUGUUUGGAAUUGACCAAGUCAAAGAAAUCAGAAGGAGAUUGAAAUAUCUUUCAAUUAAGGAAGGAAAUAAGGUUGAAGAGUCACCAAAUCCCCUCAAAUUUGUGCAUCACCCUAUGGGCAGAUUUCUGAAGUAUUUUUUCUCAAAAAUUCAAUAUUAUUUCCUAUUUCGAAGACUAUUCAAACUUCCUAUUUAGUAACCUUGCUAUUUUCCUUUAUAGUGCUUGUAAUUAGCCUAUAUAAAGGCCAACUCUUGUAAGCUUAAAGCAUUCUGAAUUUUAAUCAAUAGCAAGUGCUGCUUCUUUUUUCUUAUCAAACAUUAUUUGUUUGUGGCGAAGUCUUGACUUAUCACAAGAGUUUCUUGUGUGGCGUCUUUAUUGAGAUUGUAAUCUUUGUGAUGAGAUUACUCUUAUCAAAUUUUACGUUCCAUAGUUAUCUUCUUAUUUUUGUCUUUCAUUACUGUUGCAUCUUAAAUCACAAAAUACCAAAAAGAAAUCCUUUCUUUUUUUUGUUGAAGUUGAUUUUGGUAUUAUAUUGCUUAAUUUUUGAGUGUUCUUGUUCCUCGAUUCAUUCCAGAAGAAUUUCUUAUUUUUUUAUAACUAAUCAAUUUCAUUCUCUUCUUCACAAGGCACAUCAGUCGGUUUGGAAGCAAUUUACUUUCAAAUUGACCAGUGAAUAGUCCUGCCUACUCUUCCUCAAAUUUUUAUUUUUUUCACAUGCUUCCUUUCUAUUGCAUUUGCUUUUUUCUUUCACACAAAAAGGUAGUUGAGUUUUUCACCUACUUGAUUUGACAUCGGUAUGGGUCCUUUGAGGUUUUCUUCGUCCAAUUGGUCACUACCAUUGUCUCUACCUUUAAUUCUUGGUUCUUCGAGUUUUCUUUUGUUAAUCAUCUGAUAGAAAUCUCUUUUUCCUCUGAUCCAAGAGUUGAUCUUUGCAUGCUGAUUUUGAAACCACAACCAAUCCCCUAUAAGAGGUUGGUUGAACAUUUUUCUUACCUUCUCAUUCUCUUCUCUGCCCUCUUGGUGUUGAAAUGGACAAUUUUGUGGUGCUGUUAACGGGUGUGUUGCAGAUAUCGCUCACGGAGGCAUUGGAUGAGCUCUAUAAGAGGUUGGGUUGUUCCAUAAUUGAUGAUGGAUUGAUUCAUAAGUUGAUUUUAAUAUGGAUUGGGCCAUACGGAGGAGGUUCGGACUUUACCAUGGUCUCUGUUCGCCAAAUCGCCAAGUAGGACUCUCAAUUCGGACUUUACCAUGGUCUCUCUUCACCAAAUCGCCAAGUAGGACUUUCAAUCAAACAGCAGAAAUGCAUUGUCUGAUUGUGUAUGCGUGCAUUGUCCAAGCAAGGAGCUUUUCCAAUGAUCUGGCUGUGUUUUAUGAGCUGAUUGCAAGCUUCUGAUCUCAAAAGAUCAGUAAUGCAUCCUCAGGUAUGCACGUAUGAAGAGUAGCCUUGCUGUUCUUUAUUUUGUGUUCUCUUUAUUCUAAAAUUUUCAUUCCUUCAUUAAGCUUCCAAACUAGUUUAAGGGACUGAUUAUUGGAGCUUCAUGAUUGGAACAAAUUUCAGUGGAAGAAAUGGUGACAAUGUUGUAAUUCUAAUUUCACUUCUUGCCUAGAAGCUUGAAGUGUUUUUUGUUAAGAUGGUUAUUAUCUUUCACUGUUGCAAUAUCCUACACUGGUUCAAGCCCAGCAGUCUUGGAUUUGGACAUUUCUUGUGGACAGUGGUUGCUCCAUAGCAAGAUCUGGCCUGGGCCUCAGUUGGGGUUUGGAUUUUUGAAAAAAGAAUCCAAAUAUAAAUGAAAUUCC